UAUUUUUCAGCAGGCUUAUAAAGG
rnacentral:piRNA from 1 species